rnacentral:lncRNA from 1 species
UUUUUUUUUCAUACGCCUGUUGGCUGCAUAUAUGUCUCCUUUUGAAAAGUGUCUGUUCACAUCCUUCACUCACUUUUUUUUUUAAGUUACAGGGCACAUGUGCAGGAUGCACAGGUUACAUAAAUGUGUACCGUAGUGGUUUGCAGCACCUAUCAACCCAUGUUCUAAGUAUUAAGCUCAGCAUGCAUUAGCUAUUUAUCCUGAUGGCUCCCUCCUCCUGCCCUCACCUUGACAGGCCCCAGUGUGUGUUGUUCCCCUCCGUUUCCAUGUGUUGUCUUUGUUCAGCUCCUCCUUAUAAGAUCACAUGGUGUUUGGUUUUCUGUUCCUGCGUUAGUUUGCUGAGGAUAAUGGCUUCCAGCUCCAUCCAUGUCCCUGCAAAGGACAGGAACUCAUUCCUUUUUGUCCUUUGCCCACUUUUUAAUGGGGUUGUUUUUUUCUUGUAAAUUGGUUUAAGUUCCUUAUAGACGCUGGAUAUUACACCUUUCUCAGAAGCAUAAUUUGCAAAAGUUUUCUCAUUCUGUAGGUUGUCUGUUUAUUCUGUUGACAGUUUCUUUUGCUGCAUAGACACUCUUUAGCUUAAUUAGAUUCCAUUUGUCAAUUUUUGCUUUUGUUGAAAUUGCUUUUGGUGUCUUUGUCAUAAAAUCUUUGCCUGCUCCUAUGUCCAGAAUGGUAUUGCUCAGGUUGUUUUACAGGGUUUUUAUAGUGUUGGGUUUUACAUUUAGCCUUUAGUCCAUCUUUAGGUGAUUUUUGUAUUUGGUAUAAGGAAGAGGUCCAGUCUCAGUCUUCUGCAUAUGGCUAGCCAGUUAUCCCAGCACCAUUUAUUGAAUAUGGAGUCCUUUCCCCAUUGCUUAUUCUUGUCAGCUUCGUCAAAUGUCAGAUAGUUGUAGGUGCAAGGCCUUAUUUCUGGGCUCUCCAUUCUGUUCCAAUGGUUUAUGUGUCUGUUUUUGUACCAGUACCAUGCUGUUUUAGUUAUUAUAGCCCUAGAGUAUGGUUUGAAGUCAGGUAACACGAUGCUCUCAGCUUUGUUCUUUUCGCUCAGGAUUUUCUUGUGUUUUGGGCUCUUUUUUGGUUCCAUAUGAAUUUUUAAAUAGUAUUUUUCUAGUUCUGUGAAGAAUGUCAUUGGUAGUUUGAUAGGAAUAGCAUUGAAUCUAUAAAUUGCUUUGAGCAGUAUGGCCAUUUUAACAGUAUUGAUUCUUCCUAUCCAUUAGCAUGGAAUAUUUUUCCAUUUGUUUAUGUUAUCUCUGAUUUAUUUGAAAAGUGUUUUGUAGUCCUCCUUACAGAGAGCUUUCACCACCCUGGUUAGCUAUAUUCCUAGGUACUUUAUUCUUUUGUGGCAAUUGUGAAUGGGACUGUGCUCUUGAUUUGGCUCUUGGCCACAUUGGUGGAAAGUAAUUCUAGUUUAGUUAAUGUUGUUCUAAAGUAAUGCUAGUGAUUUUUGUACCUUG